rnacentral:lncRNA from 1 species
UUCCAUUUCUUUUCUACUUCCAAUUUCUGCUUAUUUUUUAUUCUUUCGUAUGUAUAUUAUUUUUUAAUGGUCACUUGUUGUGCAAUGUCUUUCUUUUAAGUCGUUGGCUACUUUUUAAAGAGAAGAACAAAGUGAACUAUGUUAUCGUUCUACUCUUUCUACCCCAUUUCUGUAAAGAAGCAAGAAAACACCUAACAGGCAUAUCAAUCUGCUUAAACAUUCAAUUGGCCAUUUAGUCUUUUGGGAUUUAACAUUGUGCCAUUCUUGUCGUUGCCCUUAAAUCUCCUCACAAACUCUUUGUUCUUCCAUCAAUCAUUGAGAAAGAUCCCUAGAAUCGGAGCCCCAUGUCUUUCCUUUUCUCCACGCCGGCCAGAAUUUUGCCCACUCUCGAAACAAAAU